rnacentral:rRNA from 1 species
AUACGUAGGGUGCGAGCGUUGUCCGGAAUUACUGGGCGUAAAGAGCUCGUAGGUGGUUUGUCGCGUCGUCUGUGAAAUUCCGGGGCUUAACUCCGGGCGUGCAGGCGAUACGGGCAUAACUUGAGUACUGUAGGGGAGACUGGAAUUCCUGGUGUAGCGGUGAAAUGCGCAGAUAUCAGGAGGAACACCGGUGGCGAAGGCGGGUCUCUGGGCAGUAACUGACGCUGAGGAGCGAAAGCAUGGGUAGCAAACAGGAUUAGAUACCCUGGUAGUCCAUGCCGUAAACGGUGGGCGCUAGGUGUAGGGGUCUUCCACGACUUCUGUGCCGUAGCUAACGCAUUAAGCGCCCCGCCUGGGGAGUACGGCCGCAAGGCUAAAACUCAAAUGAAUUGACGGGG